GGCCAUCGCGGAAACGUUUUGACCGGUAGAGCGAACGACUAGAGGUACCGGGGCCGUAACGGCCUCGACCUAUUCUCGAACUCCGAACGGGCAAGGAGCCGGGGUCGCCCGAUCGGACCCCGGACGUGAAGUCGACGAUGGUCGGUGGGCUGGUUUUGGUAAGCAGAACGGGCGAUUCGGGAUGAACCGGAAGCGGGGAGAAAGGGCCCGAGAUUGCGUCGACGCGGAUCCCGAAAAGGGCGUCGAUCCGUCGCGACAGCGGGACGGUGGUCAUGGAAGUCGAAAUCCGCUAAGAAGCGUGUAAAAACGUACCCGCCCAACGGAUCGGCCCCGAAAAUUGAUGGCGCUCGAACGCAACCCUCGAACCCCGCCGACGGAGGCUAGGGGAGGCCCCGUCGAGUAGGCGGACGCGCGGGUCGCUUCGACGCUCCCGCGCGAGCGGGGGCGGAGCGGCCCGUGGUGCAGAUCUUGGUGGUAGUAGCGAUCACCCAGGCGAG
rnacentral:rRNA from 1 species